rnacentral:rRNA from 1 species
GAUGAACGCUGGCGGCGUGCCUAACACAUGCAAGUCGAACGGAGACGUUUUGGAAAUCUCUUCGGAGAUGGAAUUGUCGACGUAGUGGCGGACGGGCGAGUAACGCGUGAGCAAUCUGCCUUUAAGAGGGGGAUAACAGUCGGAAACGGCUGCUAAUACCGCAUAAAGCAUUAAAAUAGCAUGUUUUGGAUGCCAAAGAAGCAAUCCGCUUUUAGAUGAGCUCGCGUCUGAUUAGCUGGUUGGCGGGGUAGGGGCUCACCAAGGCGAUGACGAGUAGCCGGCGUGGGAGGGGGAUGGGCCACAUUGGGGCUGAGAUACGGCCCCGACUCCUCCGGGGGGCAGCAGUGGGGAAUAUUGCACAAUGGGGGGGAGCCUGAUGCAGCAACGCCGCGUGCGGGAUGACGGCCUUCGGGUUGUAAAACGCUUUCAGCAGGGGCGAAGCUUGUGGUGACGGUACCUGAAGAAGAAGCACCGGCUAACUACGUG